rnacentral:rRNA from 1 species
AACGAACGCUGGCGGCAGGCUUAACACAUGCAAGUCGAACGCAUCCUUCGGGGUGAGUGGCAGACGGGUGAGUAACGCGUGGGAACGUGCCCUUCAGUUCGGGAUAACCCAGGGAAACUUGGGCUAAUACCGGAUACGUGCGAGAGCAGAAAGAUUUAUCGCUGAAGGAUCGGCCCGCGUCUGAUUGGCUAGUUGGUGGGGUAAUGGCCCACCAAGGCGACGCUCAGUAGCUGGGCUGAGAGGAUGAGCAGCCACAUUGGGACUGAGUCACGGCCCAGACUCCUACGGGAGGCAGCGGUGGGGAAUAUUGGACAAUGGGCGCAAGCCUGAUCCAGCCAUGCCGCGUGAGUGAUGAAGGCCGUAGGGUUGUAAAGCUCUUUCGUCCGGGACGAUAAUGACGGUACCGGAAGAAGAAGCCCCGGCUAACUUCGCGCCCGCCGCCGCCGUAA